GAUUAAAAUUCUCCAUUGUAGACGGUCUAUUACUUCAUCAUCUCCUAUAUCCCUUGAACUUUGAGACUAGAUGGACAUUAUGCCCUUUCUCUAUCAUCUGUCUUAUUACUUUACGAGCUUCAGAAAGCUUUCCAGCAUUUCGCAAAUUGCUCACUAGGGUACUGUACACAAGAAAAUUAGGAUUACAUCCUCUAGAUUCCAUUUCCUUGAGCAUGGAGCAGGCCUCCUCAAACCUCCCUGCCAUACAAAACCCCCGUAUCACAGAAUUAUAGGUAAAUACGUUUGGUAACUGGCCCAUUGCUAUCAUCUCAUCAAACAAUGCCAGAGCCUUUUCAAGCGCACCACCCACUAUGCAUCCAGUGAUCAUCACAGUGUAACAAACAACAUCGGGCAUGCAUCCAUUUUUUAUCAUUUCAUCAAAGAAGUACUUGCAGGCUUCUAAAUUCCCAGCUCGGCUCAAUCCAUCAAUCAAAGUAGUGAAGUGAAGAACACUGGGAUCAAAACCGAUUUCCUUCAUAUGAUUCAGAAGAUUAAGUGCAGCAAGUGGCUUGUCCCCUUUACCAAGAACAUGGAGAAGGAUAUUAUAAGUAUGAAAAU
rnacentral:misc_RNA from 1 species